GACAACCCUCACCUCCUCCACCCCUCUGCGCCCCCAGACCUGACAGCCACAGCGGGUACCUUCAGGGAUCCUCUCUUCUCCCUGCGGCAGGGUGCCAACGAUGGUCACCACAAGAUCCCCAUGACAACCUCUCCCCUGCUGGACCCCUGCCCAGCCUCAAGAUCAAGAUGUACAACAACUCGUCCACCCUGUCGUCCCUGGAGCUGCCAGCAGAGCUCCGCGGCGACCCUGAGAUCCUCGGCCUGAAGCACGUGGGCGGCACCAUGGGCAGGACUGUGGCAUGGGACAGAGAUGGGUACCACCACGGCUGGCAUCAUACAGUGGUCAGAGAUCCUGGCCACAGCACCUCCG
ensembl:lncRNA